GAAACCCAUGCUAAGGGGAACGGUGCUUUGGUCCUUGAAACCCUAGGGGAUUUUCCUUCCCAGGUUGGCAUAUGCUGUCUGUGACCCAGCGUCACUGAACUUUCUGAAGACCAGGCUAGUGAUGGGAACAGGGUGCUGUGGACACAGUACCCCGGGGUGGCCAGUUCUGGUUGGAGCUUGUUUAAUGAGGCUCUGAUCCCAUCCCGUCAGCGAUAUUCGAUACAGAAGGAGCUCGGUGUGGCCGAGGUCCCCUGCGUGGGUGUUUUGCAUCAUUCUGGGGCAUUUCAGCGAAUUCUCCAGAGCCUGUCUCUGCGCUCGUAUUUCCCAAGCGGUCUAAUGGGACAGGUCACGUCUCCUGCCAAAGGUGACUGUCCUUGGAGCGCUGGCGUCAGUCCUGGUUUGGCCUGAGCACAGGAGGUCGGUGACUCCACAGCAGCCCGUGAUCCUGAAGUACUGAGUGCCCCACGGCCCCCUCUUCUCCCACCUAGUUUUGCUCCCGGUGGGAGUCGUGGGUACUGGUGUCUGACCCAGGCCUGUUGUCAGCUUGCUGAGCUUGCUCGUCAUCGGCCGCCUUCCUCUCCUCUGUCUUUCACGCUGUCCCUGAGUCGCCCCUGUCAGGCGUCUUCUCUUUAGCUUCUUUACGGGAUGAACAGCCUUGUGCGCCCAGCUUGAGUUCACGGAUGACGCGUUCCUUCCCUUUGCUGGUGUCAUGGCUGCUGCAGAACUGCAGACGAUGCUGUAGCCGGGGGAGGGCCGGCGGUGAGCCGGUGCCGCCCCAGGGGAGUUGUCCGGGAUAGGGACGCAGAGGGCGGCCGAAGGAAGGUGCUUUGCGGGGGGUGGGCACAGAGGGGAAGCCAGAGGCCUGGUCUCUUCCUGGCCUCUUCCUGGCCACUGACUUCCACCUGCGUCAGGGCCCUCGUUCUUUAUCAGCGAGGGGAAGUUCGUCCGACCCGUCUCACAGGUGUGCUCUUCGGGGAGCCCGUGCCUGUGGACACACUCUCAAAGCCUAAGCCCCAGGUAAAGGAGGGCACGUAUCCAAACUAUGUGGUUUGGGAAGUAUGUGAAUGGCACAAGAUCCUUACCACAAUCCCGAUCGCAUAAGCGUGGAGUGGUAGGGUGUGUGUGUGUUAUAACCUUGUGUGUGUGUGCGUCUGCGUGUGUUCGUUUAGUGCUGUUUUAGAUUUUUGAAGUUCCCACAGAAGUGGGGGUGUUAGAGUGUUACUGCUGUCUUUCUUGAAAAGACCCGUCCCCAACAGGAAUCCCAGGGAGGGCAUGUGAAUGAGUCCCGUGAAAGCCAUGGUUGCCCCACCUGCAAAUGCGGUGUUGCACUAGAAAACUGAGCUGCGAUCUCCCUGUGCAAAGCCCCUUCUGGUGUUUCUGAUGCCCAGCCCGGGCUGACUGGCCUGAGGCCCCUUCCCCUCCUGACAUGAAAGCCUGGUACCUUCCUCUUGAUUCACAGAAAGGAUUUGGUGGUUGGUGCCCUUCGCUAAGGUCCCUACCCCUCGAGAAGAAGCUGUUUGGGUGGAUACAGGGCGUUGGGUUUUGCUUUUCUGCUGCACUUGUCAGUGGUGCUGGUGGAGAGCUUCGCCUCCCAGCUCCCUCGCCUCCCAGCUCCUUCUUAGGCACGGGCCCCACGGGGCACCGCAGUCCUCCUGAGUUCUGCCACGACGGGAGCGGGAACCAGGCUCGAUUCCCAGGUGAUCUUUCCUUCUCUGUUAUUGCCGACCUGCUCUUUUUUGUCCAGAACUUCUUACUUAGAUCCUAGUCUCCCGGGACUGUUCUGGCUGGCUGAUAGCUCCUUCCAGCCAACCUCUGUCGUGUUAUUUAACCCAAAACCAGGCGGUGAGAUCAAGAAAAGGCAGAAAGGGGAUAACUCGUGCAAGCCUAUUAGAAUAAGACCUGAAGGCCCAGGAAGCAAGUUACGGUGGUUGCCCGUGGAGAGACCAGAGUAGCUGGGGCACCUGUUUCCCGUACGCACCUCCUUUUUGUGAAUUUUGUACCAUAUGCGUGUAUUAUCUGUUGAGAAGCUUUAAUCUAAAAAUGUACGCAAUUUGUAAUACGGUGAAGAGCUGAAAUUCUCUAAGGCAAGGAUGUUACCCACCAGCUUGAGAGAGGGACGUCAGUAAACGGACGUUACUGGGAGAGAGAGAGAGAGAGAAUGAAAAUGAAUGAGAAUGAAUACCAAGCAGGCUCCACGCCGUCAGCACGGAGCCUGAUGCAGGGCUUGGACUCAUGAAUCAUGCGAUCACGACCUGAGCUGAAAUCAAGAGUCAGACAGUUAGCUGACUGAGCCACGCGGGUGCUCCUUCCCUGACUUUCUUGACUAACAUCACAGUCUCACCUACCACCGCCUGUUACUUUUCCCUGUUUCAUUUUUUAAAUAUUUUUAUUGGAGAUUUUGUUACACACGUGUAUAUGUGCAUGCGUGUUUGCAUACACACAUCUGUGCAGUUGUGUUACAUAUAAAAAAGAAGUAUGUAUGUGUUAACUCAUUUAGUUGCCACAAACUGAACACAUCGGUGUGAUUAGCACAAAUCAGGAUACAAAAUUACCGGUACCCCAGGACCCCUUUUCUUGGGUCGCUACCUCCCACUCUCCAGAUGUAACCAGUGCCGACCUCUGACGGCACAGAGGAGUACUCACCAUAUGUGGCAUCACAGAGUAUUUCCUCUUUUGUAACUGUCUUGUCUCCUUUAGCAUCGUGUUUCGUGAGGUGGCUUCAUGUCGUGGCAGGUGGUUGUGCAUCCCCCAUUCUCAGUAGUGUAUGGUGUUCCAGUAUGUGAAGGUAGCACACUUAAUAUACACUCUCCUGUUGAUGGGCAUCGGGAUUUGUACUGAACGUGUCGCUGUGAAUAUCCGAGCACGUGUCUUGAUGAAGAGACGUAAGCAUCUCUGCCAGGAGUAUCCGGAAUCGGACAGAGGAUGGGCACGUAUCCCGUCUUACGAGCCCUUUCGCAGCGUUUGUAUCCAUUUCUGCUCCAUCAGCAGAGUUCAAGCUCAGCCACUCCACCUCCUCGCGUGGUAUUUGUCCUUUUCGUGUAGUUACUCUGUGGACCGUGUAGAGAGGUAUCUCAUUUUCUUACUAACUGAAAAAUAAGUUACAUACAUAAAAUGAAGAAAUCUUAAGUGUAUACACCUCAGUGAAUUUUACCUGGGUAUAUAUAUUCCUAUAACCACCACCUAGACUAAGAUAAAAAACAUUUUCAGCAGGGGCGCCUGGGUGGCUCAGUCGGUUAAGCAUCUGACUUCAGCUCAGGUCAUGAUCUCGCGGUCCCUGAGUUCAAACCCCGCGUCGGGCUCUGUGCUGACCGCUCAGAGCCUAGAGCCUGUUUCAGAUUCUGUGUCUUCCUCUCUCUCUGACCCUCCCCCGUUCAUGCUCUGUCUCAAAAAUAAAUAAACGUUAAAAAAAAUUAAAAAAAAAAAAACAUUUUCAGCAGCUCAGAAAGUUCCUCCUGCUUCUUCCCAGGCGAUACCACUGUGUAGAUUUUUAGCACUAUAGAUGAGUCUUUGAUCUGUUUUUGAAGUUCAUUUAACUGGAAUAAUUUAUUUUGUGCCCUUAAAUCUGGCUUACUUGCUCGACAUAAGGACUGUGAGAUUGAUCUAUGUUGUUACAUUAUCGGUAGUUCAUUCUCUUUUAUACACAGAGAGAAAUGAGAAAGCAAGAAACGUUUGACUACUUUCAACUAAACACAACUAAACACUAAAGAUAGUAAUGCAGGAAAUGAACAAAAACUCCAAGGUGUAUAGAAAACAAAUCGCAAAGUGACAGUAGGGAUGUUCUUACCAGUAACUAUUUUAAGUCUACGUUGAUUAAACUCCCAUCGAUCGACAGAGACUGGCAGAAUGGGUGAAAUGGUCCAACUAUCUCUUGUCUGCAAGAGACUCACCUUAAACCCAAAGGCACGGGUAGAUUAGAAGCAAAAGGAUGGAAAAGGAUAACAUUCCGUGUAGAUAGUUAGCAGAAGAGAGUAAGAUGGCUAUACUGAUAACCCACAAAAAAGACUUAGAAACAUUUUUUUUUUACAUUUAUUUGUUUUUGAGAGACCGAGCACAAGUGGGGGAGGGGCUGAAAGAGAGGGAGACACAGAAUCCGAAGCAGGCUUCAGGCUCUGAGCCGUCAGCACAGAGCCCGACGCGGGGCUCAAACCCUCAGACCGCGAGAUCGUGACCUGAACCGAAGUCGGACGCUCAACCAAUUGAGCCGCCCCUAAGUCUCAGUAGUUUUAAAAAGAUAUAUCAUAUAGGGACAUCUGGGUGGCCCAGUCAGUUAAGUGGCCAACUUCGGCUUUGAGCCCCACAUCAGGCUGUCUUCUGUUAGCACAGAGCCCGCUUUGCAUCCUCUGGCCCCCUCUCUCUCUGCCCCUCUUCUGCUCACGCGCGCUCUCUCUCUAAAAUAAAUAGCAUUUAAAAAAAACAUCAGGGCACCUGGGGGACUCAGUUGAUUAAUAAGCAUCUGACUUUAGCUCAGGUCAUGAUCUCACAGUUCAUGAGUUUGAGCCCCACGUUUGGCUCUGUGGUGACAACUCAGAGCCUGGAGCCUGCUUCGCCUCUGUGUCCCCCUCUCUCUCUUCACCUCCCCUGCUCAUUCUCUGUCUCUCUCUCUCUCAAAAAUAAAUAGACAUUAAAAAAACUUUUUUUAACAUAAAAAAAUAUAUCCUACAAAUUACCUUCUCCAGUCACCACAGGAUGAAGUUAGAAAUCAGUAAUAGAAGUGAAACUGGAAAAUUCGUAAAUCUGUAGCUAUUAAACAACGCACUCUAAACCAAUGGAUCAAAGAAGAAGUCACAUGGGAAAUCCUAAAAUACUUAGAAAUGAAUGAAAACAAAAACAACAUACCAAGACUUCCAGAGCUCAGUAUAAAAACAGUGUGCUAAAGGGGAAAUUUUUGGCUAUAAAUGCUGACAUUAAAAAACAAAGACCUCAAAUCAACCUAAUUUUACAACCGAAGGAAAUAGAAGAAUGAACUAAAUCCAAAGCUAGUUAGCAGAAGGGGAGAAGUAAAAGAUUAGAGAAGAGGUAAAUGAAAUAGAGAAUAGAAAGACAAUAAAGAAAAUCAGUAAAAGUACAGUUGGUUCUUCAGAAGAUCAACACAUCAACAAACUUUUAGCUAGGUGGACGAAGACAAAAAGAAGAUUCAGGUUCUGAAAUCAGAAAUGAAAAUGGGGACUUAUUACUGAUUCUACAGAAAUAGAAAGGAUUGUAAGAGAGACAGUUGUACACCAACAACUUUGAUACCUGGAUGAAAUGAGACAAACUCCUAGAAACACACAACCUACCAAGACUAAAUUAUGUAGAAAUGGGAAAUCUAAAUGGACCUGGUAAGGAUGUUGAAGCAGUAACGAGAAAUGUGGCAGAGAAUAGCCCUGGUCCUGAUGCCUUAUGGCCUCCCAUGGUGAAUUCUACCGAACAUUUUACAAAGAACUAAUGCCAGAGCGCCCAGGGGGCUCAGUCAGUGGAGCGUCUGCCUCCUGAUUGCCGCUCAAGUCAUGAUCUUGUGGUUCAUGGGAUUGAGCCCCACAUUGGGCUCUGUUUGGGAUUCUCUCUCUGCCCCUCCCCCCACUCACUUUUUGUGUGUGCUCUUGCUCUCUCUCUGUCUCUCUCCCCCCCCCCCCCAAAUGAUACCAGUGCUUCUAAAACUUUUCCAAAAAUUUCAGGGAAGGGGAGGGGAGUACUUCCUAACUCACUCCAUGAGGCCAUCAUGACCCUGAUACUGAAGCCAAAGACUAUAAGAAAACUACAGACCAGGGGCACCUGGGUGGCUCAGUCGGUUGAGCGUCCGACUUUAGCUCAGCUCAUGAUCUCAUGGUUCGUGGGUUUGAGCUCCGCGUCGGACUCUGUGCUGACACCCGGGAGCCCGGAGCCUGCUUCAGAUUCUGUGUCUCCCUCUGUCUCUCUCUGCCCCUCCCCUGCUCGUGCUUCCUCGCUCACUCUAUCUCUCAAAAAUAAAUAAACGUUGAAAAACAACUUAAAAAAAAAACAACACAAAACUACAGACCAGUAUCCCUUAUAAACACAAAUGCAGAAAUCUUCAACAAAAUACUAAUAAACCAAAUUCAGCAGCCUAUUAGAAGGAUUGUACACCACGACCACGUGCAAUUUAUUUUGACAAUGCAAGCAUGGUCCCAACACAUGCAAGUCGGUAAUUGUAACAUACCACAUUAACAGAGCGAAGGAGAAAAGAACACAUGAUAUUCUUGAUGCAGAAAAAACAUUUGACAGAAUUCAAUACCCUCUGAUAAACACAGUCAACACUACGAAUAAAUGGAAAUUACUUCCACAUAAUUAAAUCUAACAGCAUCCUAAGUGGUGAGAGACUUGAAAGGUUUUCCUCUAAGACCAACAAGACAAGGCCACCUUCGAGCACCGUCCUAGUCAGUGAAAUACCAGAAGUUCUAGCCAGAGCGGUAGCCAAGGAAAAGAAACAGAAGCCUCCAAAUGGGAAAGGAAGAAGUAAAGUCAUCUCUGCUCGUAGAUAAUACGAUUUUAUAGGAGGAAAACCCUAACGAUUCCACAAAAAUUUUGUUUGAACUAAUUAAUGUUAACUCAGCAAAGUAGCGAGAUACAAAGUAAGCGUGCAGAAAUCAUUUGCAUUUUUAUACACUAAUAGUGAAUGAUCUGAAAAGGAAAUUAUGAAAAUAAUUCCAUUUACAGUAGCAUCAAAAAAAAAUUUACUUAGAAUUAACCAAGGAAUUAAAAGACAUGUGACUGCAAAACAGUGCUGAAAGAAAUUAAAGAAGAUAUAAAUAAAUGGAAACACAUCUCAUGUCCAUGUAUUAGAAAAUUUAAUAUUUUAAAAUGUCAGUACUACCCAAAGCGAACUACAGUUUCAGUGCAAUCCCUGUCAAAAUCUUAAUGAUCUUUUUUCUAUUAAUAAAAAAAGAGGGGGUGCCUGGCUGGCUGGGUUAGUAUAGCAUACAUCUCAAUCUCAGGUCGUGAGUUCAAGCCCUAUGUUGGGCACGGAGCUUACUUAAAAUAAGAAAUAAUAAAUAAAUAAGUAAAUAAUAAAAGAGAAAUUCUCCUUGUGAAACUCCUAUGAAAUCUCAAGGGACCCCAAAUAGCUAAAACAAUCUUGGAAAAGAAGAAUAAAGUGGAGUACUCCCUUCCUGAUUUCACAACUUACUAUAAAACCACAGUAACCAAAAUAGUGUGGUACUUGCGUAAAGACAGACACAUCGAUCAAUGGAAUACAAUAGAAAACCCAGAAUUAAAUCCUUGUGCUGCAUUCAAAUGAGUUUUGACAAGGGUGCCAGGAACACUCAUCAGGGACAGAAUGGUCUUUUCAACCAAUGUACUGGGAAAACUGGAAACCCACAUGUAAAAGAGUAAAGUUGGACCAUUAUCUAGCACUGCAUACAAAAGUUAACUCAAAGUGUAUCUUAGGCCUGAAUGUAAGACCUAACACUAUAAAACUUUGAAGAAAACAUAGGGCAAAACUUCAUGACAUGGGAUUUGGAAGUCAUUUCUUGGAUAGGACACCAAAGAUAGAGGCAGCAAAAGAAAAACACAGACAAAUUCGAUUCUACGUGAAAAAUUUUAAAUUUUGCACAUCAGAAGACACUAAUCGGCCGAGUAAGAGAGCUACCCAGAGAAUGGGAGAAAAUAUUUAAGUCAGGUAUGUGAUGAGAGGUUAAUAUCCAGACUGUACUGAGAAUUCUCAAAACUGAACAAAAAAGCUCUCCGGUUCAAAAGUGGACAUUAGACUUGAAUAGACUUUUCUCCAGAGAAGAUAAUCAAUAAACAUAAGAAGAUGCUCAACACCACUGAUUAUUACAGAAGGGCGAAUCAAAACUACAAUGGAAUAAUGUUUCCUGCCCAGUAGGAUCACCACAAUAAAAAUAACAGAAAAGAACAACUUCUGGCAAGGAUGUGGAGAAAUCAGGAUCCUGUGUAAUGCUGGUGUUGGGAUAUUAAAUGGUGUGGCUGCUGUGGGAAACAGUAUGAUAAUUCAUCAAAAUAUUAAAAAUAGGAUUACUGGGGGUGCCUGGGUGGCUCACUUGGUUAAGCAUCUGACUCAGGUCAUGAUCUCACAACUCAUGAGUUGGAGCCCCGCGUCAGACUCUGUGCUGACAGCUCAGAGCCUGGAGCCUGCUUUGGAUUCUGUGUCUCCCUCUGUCUCUCUGCCCCUCUCCCGCUUGCAUUCUGUCUCUCUCAAAAAAAAGUGCAUAAACAGUAGUAAAAACAAAACAAAAAAAAAGUUAAAAAUAAUAGGGUUACUGGAUGAUCCAGCAAAUCCACUUCUGGGUGUACAAAGAAGAAUUAAGAGCAGGGUCUUGAAGAGAUACUGGCACACCUGUGUUUGUAGCAGCAUCAUUCACAAUAGCUGCAACAUGAAAACAGCCUGGGUGUCUGUCAAGGACAAGUGAGUACGCAAAAUGCAGCAUAAACAUACAGUGGAAUAUUACUGAGCCUGGGAAAGGAAGGAAGCCCUGUCACAUGCUAUAGCAUGGACGUACCUUGAAGAUACUGUGCCAAGUGAAAUUAGCGAAUUGACAAGAAGAGAAGCACCGUAUGAUUCUAUUUGUACGGGAUACUUACAGUGUUCACAGUCACAGAGUCACAAAGGAAAUGCUGGUUUCCAGGACUGGGAGCAGGAAGAAUGGGGAGUUAUUGUUUAAUGGACCUAGAGUUUCUGCUUUAUAAGAUUAAAAGUUAUUGAGAAUAGUGGUGAUGGUUGCAUGACAUCAUGAAUUUAUUUAAUACUCCUGAACCAUAUCCUUAAAAAUGGUAAAGAUGGUUAAUUUUAUGUAUAUUUCACUACAACAAAAAUUGAAGGAAAAAACCCCAAUUAUAUACAAAAGGCAGAAAAAGAGUGGUAGGCAAACAUAGGAAUGAUGAACGGAGGUAAAUUAUAAAAAACAGUAACAAGUACAGUAGAUAUUAAUCCAUCUGUAUCGAUGAUAACUCUGAAUGUUAGUGCCCUAAGUGCCAGUUAAACCAAUUAAAAGAGAUUGUCAGAGUGAAUCAAAAACACAACCCAACUAUAGUCUACCCACCCCUAAAAAACUACUUUUUAAAAAAAAUUUUUUUUAACAUUUAUUUAUUUUUGAGAGAGAGAUAGAGUGUGAGCAGGGGAAGGGCAGAGAGGGAGGGCAACACAGAAUCCAAAGCACACUCCAGGCUCUGAGCUGUCAGUACAGAGCCUUAUAUGGGGCUCGAACCCACAAACCAUGGGAUCAUGACCUGAGCUCAAGUCGGAUGCUUAACUGAGCUACCCAGGCACCUCAAAACCCACUUUAAAUAUACAGACACGUGGUGAUUAAAAGUAAAUAGAUGAAUGGGGCACCUAGGUGGCUCAGUUAGUUAAGCAUCCGGCUCUUGAUUUCAGCUCAGCUCAUGAUCUCAAGGUCAUGGGAUUCACGCCCAGCACGGAGCCUGCUUCAAGCUUCUCUCCCUCCCUCCGCUGCUCAUGCUCUCUUUAAAAAAAGUAAAUAGAUGGAGAAAAAUUCACCAUACCAACAUUAGUCAAAAGAAAGCAGGAAUAGCUGUAUUAAUUUCAACAGAGCAGACCUCAAAGUAAAGAAAGUUUCCAGGCAAGAAAAGCAUUACAUUUUGAUAAAAGUGUCGGUUUUCCAUAAUUCUUACCAUGAUGCACCUAACAGCAUAGCAUCAAACCACGAGAGACAAAAACUGGCAGAACUGCAAGGAGAGAUAGAUGAUGAAUCUGUUAUCAUAGUAGAAGACUUCAACACGCCUUCUCAGAAAUGGACCGAUCCAGCCAGCAGAAAAUCGGUAAGGACACCAUUGAACUUAACCCUGUCAAUCAACUAGCUACCACGGACAUCUGUAGACUACCUCAUCCAAAACAGCAGAAUUCACAUACUUCUCAAGAAUUCACUUUGUUCUCACAUGGAAUAUUAACCAAGAUAGACUGCAUUCUGGACCAUAAAACACACUUUUGCAAGUUUAAAAGAACAGAAAUCAUAUAAUGUCUGCCGUCAGAGCCCAGUGGAAUUAAACUAGAAGUCAAUAACAGAAAAAUAGCUGGGAAAUCUCAAAAUAUUUGGAGAUUAAAUAACAUGCUUCUACAUAACACAUGAGUCAAAGAAGAAAUUUCAAGGUAAAUUUUUUAAAAUUUUGAACGAAAUGAAAACAAAAUGUGUGAGAUGCAGCAAAAGCAGUGCUUAUAGGGAAAUUUAUAGCAUCAGAUGCAUAUAUUAGAAAAGAAGAAAGAUGUAAAAUCAAUACUCUAAAUUUCAACCUUAAACUGGAAAAAGAAAAGCAAAAUAAGGCCAAAGUGAUCAGAAGAAAAUAAUUACAGCAAAAAUCAAUGAAAUCAGGAAGUCAGUAGACAAAAUCACAAAACGAAAAGCUGGUUUUUUGAAAAGGUCAGUAAAAUUGAUAAUGUUCUAACCAGGCCAUGUAAGAAAAAAGACACAAGUUACUAAUAUCAGAAAUGGGGGCACCUGGGUGGCUCAGUCUGUUGGGUAUCUGACUUUGGCUCAGAUCAUGGCCUCACAGUCUUUGAGUUUGAGCCCUGCAUUAGGCUCUGUGCUGACAUCUCAGAGCCUGGAGCCUGCUUUGGAUUCUGUGUCUCCCUCUUUCUCUAUUCCUCCCCCACUUGUGCUCUGUGUCUCUCUGUCUCUCAAAAACGAAUAAAUGUUUAGGAAAAUAAAUAAAUAAAAUAAAUGAAAGAGGGGACAUCACUACAGAUCCCAUGGAAAUUGAAUAGAUAAAGAAGAAUACUGCAAACGACUCUUAUUUCCACAAAUUUGAUAACCUAGAUAAAAUGAACCAAUUUCUUGAAAAAUAAAAUCUGCCAAAACUAGCACAAGAAGAGAUAGAUGAUAUGAAUAGGCUUAUAUCUAUUAAAGAAAUUGAGUCAAUAACCUUUCCAAACCAAAAGCACCAGGUCCAGAUGGGUUGACUGGUGAAUUCUGCCAAACCUUUAAGGAGGAAAGUUAGCAGUUCUCCACAAUCUCUUUGAGAGGAUAGAAGCAGAGGGAAUACUUCAUAAUUCAUUUCAUUAGGCCAGCAUUACUCUAAUACCAAAACCAAAAACAUUCCAAGAAAAGAAAACUAGAGAACAAUAUCUCUCAUGAAUAUAAAUGCAAACAUCUUCAACAAAAUAGCAAAGCAAAUCCAGAAAAAGUAUAAAAAGCUGACCAAGUGGGAUUUAUACCAAGUGUGCAAGGCCAGUUCACCAUUCAAAAGUCAAUUAAUGUAAUCUACCAUGUCAACAGACUAAAAAAAUAAAAAUUACAUGAUCCUGUAAAUAGCUACAGAAAAGAGAUCUGGCAAAAUCAAUACUCAUUCAUAAUAAUAAUAAUAAUAAACCCCUCAUUAAACUAGGAAUAGAAGGGAACUUUUUCAACUUGAUAAGGACUAUCUUUCAAAAGAACCUACAGCUAGUAGCACACUUCAUGGUGACAAACGAAGCUUUCCCAUAAAGAUCAAGGAUGAGGCAUGGGGACCCCUUCACCACUCCUUACCAACAUCAUACUGUAAGUCCAUGCUGUUGCAGUAGGCAAGGAAGGGAGGUAAAAAGUAUACAUACUAGGGAAGAAGACCUAAAACUGUCUUUGUUUGCAGAUGACGUGAUCACCUAUGUAGAAAAUCCAAAAGAAUUAACCAAAAAAAAAAAAAAAAAAAAAAAAUCCUGGAACUACUAAGCUAUGAUAGCAUGGUUGCUAGAUGCAAGGUUAAUAUGCAAAAGUCAGUUGCUUUCACAUGUGCCAAUAAUGGAACAAGUGGCUUACAUUUAAAACAAUUUAAUUUACGUUAACACCCUUAGAGUAAAAUACUAAGGUAUAAUUCUAAUUACAAAAUAUGUACAAGAUCUAUAUGAGGAAAACUGCAAAGUUUAGGUGAACAGAAUUUAAGAGCUAAAUCAUAUUCCGUGUCUGUGGAUAGGAAGCCUUAAUAUUUUCAAGAUGUUACUUUCUCCCAGUUUGAUCUAUAGAUUCAAUUCGAUCUCAGUCAAAAUCCCAGCACAUUAUUUUAUGGAUAUUGACAAACUGAUUCUAAUGUCUCUAUGGAGAGGCAAGAGACCCAGAACAGCCAGCACACUAUCGAAGGGGAAAGACACAUUUGGAGGAGUGAUGCUACCCAACUUUAAGACUCACUGUAAAGCCACGUUAAUCAAGACAGUGUGGCCUUGACAGAAGAACAGAGCAACAGAUGGGGUGCCCGGAGGGUCAGUUGGUUAAGUGUCUGACUUCAGAUCAGGUUGUAAUCUCACGGUUCCUGAGUUCAAGCCCCGCAUCAGGCUGUCCGCACAGAGCCUGGUUUAGAUCCUCUGUCCCCUUCUCCCUCUUCCCUUCCCCGACUCAUGCACGUGCACUCGCUCUCUCAAAAAUAAACAUUAAAAAUUUUUUUUGAAAACAUUUGCAGGAUCUGUUAAAGGUAUGGUAUCCUUAAUACAAAGAACUCUUGAAACUCAGUAAUAAAAAAAACAACCUGAUUAAAAGGUGGACUGAAGACCUUAACAGACACCACACCAGGAAAGAUACACAGAUGGCAAAUAGACACAUGGAAGGAUGCUCAAGGGUGUAUAACAACGGGAAUUGUCAAACAUGGCUGGUGGGAAUGCGAGAUGGCACGGCCACUCUGGAGGCCACCGUGGUGCUUCUUACAAAGUUAAACAUGCUCUGAGCAUAUGACUCAGUAGUCCUGCUCUGAGGCAUUUACCCAAAGGAAUCGAAACAUAUAUUCGCACAAAAACAAAAUAAAAUAAAUAAAAAUAACGUGGAUAUUUAUAGCAGCUUUAUUUGUAACUGCCAAAACUUACAACUAAGUGUAACAACUAAGAUGUCUUUCAGUAGGUGAAUGAAUUACUAACCUCUAGUCCAUCCAGACAGUGCAGUAUUCUUCAACUCGAACAAGAAAGGAGCUUUGGAGCCUUCGAGGAGAGAAGAAGGGAGGAAAAGUGCCUGGUGUCCAAGGCGAGCUGGGCACACCCUGUCCCCACAGUGGGCACAAAAAGAACUUUUUUUAAUAAAAGAAAUGAGCUGUGGAGCCAUGAGCAGACAUGAGGCACCUUAGAUACAUACUGCUAAGUGAAAGAAACCGUGUGGGAAGGCUCCGUACUGUAGGGUUGCGUCCAUGUGACAUUCUGGAAGAGGCGGAAAUAGGAAACGAUAAACAUCGCAGCUGGCACGUGGUAAGGGCGAUGAGUAGAUAGGCACAAGGAUUUCCUAAAACGGUAGAAAUGUUCCGUGUGCAGUUAUAUUAUAGAAAGAUGUUAUUAGACUUCUGUCCCAACACGUACAAGGUGCACCACCGAAAGUGAGCCCGAAGGUAAACCAUGGACUUUGGGUGAUCAUGUGUCGGUGUAGGUUCAUCCUUGGUUUAAAAAUAAAAGGUCCAUUCUCGUGAAUGAUGUUGAUCAGGGAGAUUGUGGGUG